ACUUCAGGUCAUGUUUCUGUUGAUUUAACAAAUGACAUAGAAACUCUUAUUUUUCAAAUACAUUUUCCCUCCUGGGUCUCUAGCUCUUUAAGAAUUAACUGUUUUAAAUGAUCUAGUCUUCAUACUUGCAGACAGAGACUUAGCUCUAAUAAUAUGAUUAAUUAGUUUCUCUAUCAGAUAAUAACAUGAAAAAUAUUAGAAUCAGGAAAUAAACUCCAAAGACUAAUCAUUUAAAGAUAUAAUAAGAUAUAUACUAUAUAUAAUAAUCCUGUCAUUAGAUGGACCUCUCAUUUUAAAACAUAAUAAAAUGUGUAGUUUAAAAACCUAAAAUCAGCCCUAUGAAACGUGUUAGAAGCUUGGAAGUUGCCACAAGUCAAAGUGAAACUGCCUUUGCAAAAAAUCAUAAGUGAGGAAAUUAUGUCGGUGAAACAGACCUAACUGACCCCUUCUUCCUUCUAACCUUGAAACUGUGUUUGUUCAUUCCGGGGUGUAGGCCAAACUAGCCUUGGGAAGGAAUUUAUAGUUUAAACUCUGAAAUAAAAUUGAUAACAGUCCUUUCCUGAAAAACCCUUUCUUGCCUGGGGACCAGUCUGCCUUUGUAGGACUAAUAAAUUAGCUACAAGAUUAGAAAUUACGGUUUAGGGGCCAUGCAGCCUCUGACUGCAAGAGUCUGAACCUUCCCAAAAUCGCUCCUGGGAAUAACAUCACUAUGGUAAAACCUAAGAUCAGUGUUUAAGAUAUUUACAGACCCUGCGUUCUGAUAUAGCACAUGACAUCACUCAGAUGACGCCACUCAGACUGAUAAUACAGCUCAGCCAGUUCUGCGAUCCCACCCAGGAAUGAAUGUAAGCCAGCAAGAACUCACUUCGACCCCCUAUGAUUUUACCUUCAACCCAACCAAUUAGCACUCCUCACUUUCCAAGCCCAUACCCGACAAACUAUCCUUAAAAACUCUGAUCUGGGAGACUGAUUUGAGUAAUAAUAAAACUCCGAUCUCCCACACAGCUGACUCUGCUUGAAUUACUCUCUCUCCAUUGCAAUUCCCCUGUCUGGAUAAGCUGGCCCUGUCUAGGCAGCAGGCAAGGUGAACACUUGAUUACAAAAGGAUGAAGAAACUGAAGAAUCAACAACUCUUAGAUCGAUCAGAGAAGCGAGGGCACAGGGCAAACCACUGCCUCCAAAACUGGGUAAGUCAAGAGUCCUACCCACUAUAAACCUAAAUACCAUGGUAAGCUAUUACAGCAUUGGGAACAGAUGGUGAAGUUUUCCAUAAAAGAGAAAGGGAAACAGACCUGUCUGAAGCAAGAAAGCCUGUGUGGAUGAAUAUUGCUUCCAGGAGUCACAUAAUUACAUCUAAAAUCAUAGAAUGUUAGAGCUGGAGGAAUCUUUAGAGUUUGCCCAAGGUCCUUCACCAGCAUUUUACAGAAGAUUCUUCGAUUUAACUGCUCUUAAUUACAUCCCGUUGCACUGGCCCCAUCAAGUUGCUUUAAACAGCCCUUCUAGUCAACAGAGCUGCAGAGAAAAACCUUGAGCUGUCACACUUCAUUUGUGAGAACACUCCAGAGCUUCCUCCAGCUGCUGAUUCCAAACCAGCUUCACAAAUAAACAACAUUUAUAAUCCCAGACCUGUGGGAAGCAUUUCCAGGAAAUAUGGAUCAUCACAUUGGCUCUUGUUACCAGAACUGUGCAAGGCUCCCAUUGGCCGAACACAACUGGAUUUCAGAAGACUUAAUGGAGACUAUACAGGUCAGCCUUCCAGGGUACAGAGCAAGAUGGAGAGUGAUAGACUAGAUACAGAAGAGCAAUCCCAAGAUAGCUCACUCAGAAGACAACACUCACUCUGACUACCCAACUUCAUUGAAACUAAAAGAAACUUCAUCUUGCUUUAGAGGAAAAUAAUCUGGGCCAGAUACCCAGUUUGGGCUGAUAAAUAUACUGCUGUGUAUAUUUUACACUUUGCAGAGAUGUGGCAGAUACCUAAAAUCUGUGUUUAAUGAACUGAAUAAAAAAAUACUCUGAUGUAAAUAUUUAAAUUUCAGAGACCUAAUAAUGAAUAGUGUGGUGCACAGACUCUAAGGAAGCCCCCAUGAUCCCUGCCUCCAGGUAUCCAUGCCUUUGUGAAAUCUGCCCCCAUCGAGUGUAGGCGAAUGACCUGCCUUGUUGUAAGAGGUUUGGGGAGAGAGCCAUGUGGCAAGCAACUGCCAGCAGCCUCUUGGAACUCCUGGCUAACAGUCAGCAAAAAGCCAGAAACCUCAGUUUACAACCACAAAAUGAUGAAUCCUGCCAACAACCUGAGUCGGUUUUGCAGUGGAUCCAUCCCCAGUCAAGCUUUCUGAUGAGAAUCCAGCUCCAGCCAAGAGCUUUUGCUGUUGUUCUUGUAAUUAAUUGUGAGUUUUUUUCAGUUUUAUGGAGACAUAGUUGACAAAUUAAAUCAUAAAAAUUUAAAAUAUAUAAUGUGAU
rnacentral:lncRNA from 1 species